AAGUCGUAACAAGGUAUCUGUAGGUGAACCUGCAGAUGGAUCAUUUCGAUGAAAACCUUUUUUUCUUGAGGUGUGGCUCGCACCUGUCUAACUAAACUUGAGCUACCAUUUUUUCAACACGGUUGCAUCGGUUGGCCUGUCAAUUAGUGCGGCGGCGCGAAUUUACUUUGCACCUGCCAAGCUAGGCGACGGACCGACGCCUUACUUUAAACACUUUUGAUGAUCUAGGAUUUGAAGGAUAAAAGUUCAUUUUUACAAUGAAAUCGACUGGUAAUGCGGUCGUCUAAUUUUAAAAACAACUUUUGGCAACGGAUCUCUUGGUUCUC
rnacentral:misc_RNA from 1 species